rnacentral:rRNA from 1 species
UUGACCCGGCGAUGUCCGAAUGGGGAAACCCAGUGUGUUCCGACACACUAUCGUUAACUGAAUACAUAGGUUAACGAGGCGAACCGGGGGAACUGAAACAUCUAAGUACCCCGAGGAAAAGAAAUCAACCGAGAUUCCCCCAGUAGCGGCGAGCGAACGGGGAGCAGCCCGGAGUCUGAAUCAGCUUGUGUGUUAGUGGAACGGUCUGGAAAGUCCGACGGUACAGGGUGAUAGUCCCGUACACGAAAAUGCACAUGCUGUGAACUCGAAGAGUAGGGCGGGACACGUGGUAUCCUGUCUGAAUAUGGGGGGACCAUCCUCCAAGGCUAAAUACUCCUGACUGACCGAUAGUGAACCAGUACCGUGAGGGAAAGGCGAAAAGAACCCCGGCGAGGGGAGUGAAAAAGAACCUGAAACCGUGUACGUACAAGCAGUGGGAGCACCUUCGGGUGUGACUGCGUACCUUUUGUAUAAUGGGUCAGCGACUUAUAUUCUGUAGCAAGGUUAACCGUAUAGGGGAGCCGAAGGGAAACCGAGUCUUAACUGGGCGUUAAGUUGCAGGGUAUAGACCCGAAACCCGGUGAUCUAGCCAUGGGCAGGUUGAAGGUUGGGUAACACUAACUGGAGGACCGAACCGACUAAUGUUGAAAAAUUAGCGGAUGACCUGUGGCUGGGGGUGAAAGGCCAAUCAAACCGGGAGAUAGCUGGUUCUCCCCGAAAGCUAUUUAGGUAGCGCCUCGUGAACUCAUCUUCGGGGGUAGAGCACUGUUUCGGCUAGGGGGCCAUCCCGGCUUACCAACCCGAUGCAAACUACGAAUACCGAAGAAUGUUAUCACGGGAGACACACGGCGGGUGCUAACGUCCGUCGUGAAGAGGGAAACAACCCAGACCGCCAGCUAAGGUCCCAAAGUCAUGGUUAAGUGGGAAACGAUGUGGGAAGGCACAGACAGCCAGGAUGUUGGCUUAGAAGCAGCCAUCAUUUAAAGAAAGCGUAAUAGCUCACUGGUCGAGUCGGCCUGCGCGGAAGAUGUAACGGGGCUAAACCAUGCACCGAAGCUGCGGCAGCGAC